rnacentral:rRNA from 1 species
ACUCAAAGGAAUAGACGGGGGCCCGCACAAGCGGUGGAGCAUGUGGUUUAAUUCGACGCAACGCGAAGAACCUUACCAAGGCUUGACAUCUACUGAAUCCUAAAGAGAUUUGGGAGUGCCCUUCGGGGAGCAGUAAGACAGGUGGUGCAUGGUUGUCGUCAGCUCGUGUCGUGAGAUGUUGGGUUAAGUCCCGCAACGAGCGCAACCCCUAUAUUCAGUUGCCAGCACUUAGGGUGGGAACUCUGGAUAGACUGCCGGUGACAAACCGGAGGAAGGUGGGGAUGACGUCAAAUCAUCAUGCCCCUUAUGUCUUGGGCUACACACGUGCUACAAUGGGCAGUACAGACGGAAGCGAAGCCGCGAGGUGAAGCAAAUCCGAGAAAGCUGUUCGUAGUUCGGAUUGCAGGCUGCAACUCGCCUGCAUGAAGUCGGAAUCGCUAGUAAUCGCAGGUCAGCACACUGCGGUGAAUACGUUCCCGGGCCUUGUACACACCGCCCGU